AGAGUCAGAAACUUGGUAAACUUCUGCAGUGUAAUGUGAAGCUUCUGUUUUGUUAUCGUGUUUCCAGGGCUGAAAGCAAAUAUAUCCUAGGAACAGACAGUCCAUUUAAAACAAAGAUAACAGAAACUCUCAUUGCCCUUCUGCUGGCAGCUGCCUGGCUUUCUGUAUUUACUUGAUAACAUGAUGGUGCUGCUGUCCAUCUGUCCUCGGUGGCAACAUGACGUCCCGAGUGCCUGCAGAAUGGCUGCAGAUUUGUCACUAUGCACAGCAUUGGACUUUGAGGACCUGCUGAGAUAUUCCACAGUGGCACAUCUCUCGAGCCUUUUCACACCGUCACUUUGCAUGCAUCUCCUACUCAGACACAACCCAGAAUCCUUAGCUGCAGAGGCACUGUGACAGAAGUAGAACUGAUACGUAAUAAUGUUAUGAAUACUGUAGGAACUGCUGUGCAAGAAUCUAAGAACAUUUAUACCUCACCUAGUUACUGAGAAAGACUUUUAACUUAUCCUGGGGUAGCAGAAUGUUUAUUCCAUAGCCAGAAUGCUUGAAUUCAACAGGAGCUGUAUGGAGCAAACAGGAAGACAACACAAUGGCUUCCCAGUUAAGACCAUCUAGGUACAUACUUGAAAGACAGUGGGCCAAGCUACUGUCUCCAACCUAAUUUGGCCAGAACUGGAGUUACCAGAUCAAAGGGCUACAGACAGUUAAAAAGUGUCUUGGUUCCUGUGAAGUGUUUGUCACUAGGCAGCAAGCGCUGUGGAAGGAGUCUGAAGGCCUUGGCACUUCCCAGACACAGGGGAUGGUAAGCCUUAGGGACAAGCAGGCAUGUGUAUCAGCUGGUGUAUUGUUUUUAAGAUUUAUUUUCUCUGAAAUGUGUUUGUUCUGAAUAAAUGAUACUUUGCUUUCCGGA